rnacentral:misc_RNA from 1 species
AACGCACCUUGCGCCCCUUGGUAUCCCGAGGGGCAUGCCUGUUUGAGUGUCAUUAAAUUCUCAACUUGACCUGAAUUUUUUGGAGUCGAGCUUGGACUUGGAGCAUGCCGGCCUCACCUACCACAAGGUUGGCUUCUCUGAAAAGCAUUAGCAAAACCUGAUUGGGCUCAAUCAAGCUUUUGUUGGCAUUGAUAAAUUAACCCCUGUCUAUGUCGCUGGCUGAACCGAGAGCGCGCCUCUCAUGCUAUUUUGCUUCCAAUUGUUCGCUUUCUUCACACAAAGCACAUUUUUAAACAUGACCUCAGAUCAGGUAGGACUACCCGCUGAACUUAA